rnacentral:rRNA from 1 species
AUACGGAGGGUGCAAGCGUUAUCCGGAAUCAUUGGGUUUAAAGGGUCCGUAGGCGGACUAAUAAGUCAGGGGUGAAAUCCCACAGCUUAACUGUGGAACUGCCUUUGAUACUGUUAGUCUUGAGUUAUAUGGAAGUAGAUAGAAUGUGUAGUGUAGCGGUGAAAUGCUUAGAGAUUACCCAGAAUACCGAUUGCGAAGGCAGUCUACUACAUAUAUACUGACGCUAAUGGACGAAAGCGUGGGGAGCGAACAGGAUUAGAAACCCUUGUAGUCC